rnacentral:lncRNA from 1 species
UCAUAACUAACCUGUGAUCCCAGUUCUCUCCCCCAACCCCCACCUGGUUCACAUCUGAAAGCACAUUGGCACAGAGGGGAGGAAAGUCUCUUUUUUUCCCAUGUUUUCAUCUCACAGCUCCUUUUCCGGGUCUCCGAGUUGGGAAGACAUCAAUUUCUACAUAGGGAGAUCAUUGCUCCUGGAAGAAUCCUUCGUGGGUAUAUAGUGUGCCUCUCUCCCACUGCAGACAUCCCAUCUACAGGAGUGAUAGACGACCUGCCAAGGUAUCAACAGACAGGAGACAAUCAGAUUAACCUAGAAGUUACAGAAGGGAAUUGAAAAGUUUGGCUAGAAGACAGGCACCCGCACCAAAGAAAGAGAAAGAGCAAGAAUGAAAAUGCCACAGAAAAGAACUCAGAGGGACGGAUACAAUUGCUUUUCUUGCCCAACCAAAAAAGAGUCAGAAGAAAUGAGACUUUCUCAGUUGAGAGGAUAAUCUUCUUUUUCAAUUCACAUGUGAUUGUCCCCAACUCUCACUCAUUUUACUAGAAUUUCUAAUAAUGUUAAAUUGCUCAGCAAUGAAUUUUCAGCCACAGCUUCCAAUAACAAUAUAGUUAAAAAACUUAAACCCAGAGAAUUUACAUAUAUAUGCACAUAUUUUCCAAGUUUAAGUAUAUACAUAAAUUUUUUAAUAAAUAUUUUCUUUCCUUAAUGUUAUUGACCCUGAAUCUGAUUGUAUGUAUAUUUAAUGUGAAUAUAUUUCUCUU